CCUCUGUAGAUAAAGUUACACAUGCAGAUACUCCCUCUAGAAAGGGUAUAUAAACCAAAGCAGAAUGGGCUGAGGGACCCAGCUCAACCUCCAGCAGACAACUCUUCUGUUCUAGAACUCUCACCAUCUCUGCAGAACCAAAAUGAGCUUCUCAAGCCGCAGCGCUUCCCAGUACUCCCGUUUUGGAGUGGCAUCACCUAUGGUGCACAGAGCCGGCAGUAUAGCUGGAGGCGCUGGGAGUUACAGAAUUUCCUCCUCUAAUGCCCCUUUAGUUAGCUCGGGCAUUGCCGCAGGAUUUAAUGCUCAUGAGAGUAUCGGCUUCCAGAACAAUGGCAAAGAGACCAUGCAGAACUUGAAUGAUCGAUUGGCCACUUACCUGGACAGAGU